rnacentral:rRNA from 1 species
UACAGAGAGGGCAAGCGUUGUUCGGAAUUACUGGGCGUAAAGGGCGCGUAGGCGGCCUUCUAAGUCGAACGUGAAAUCCCCGGGCUCAACCCGGGAACUGCGUCCGAGACUGGGAGGCUUGAAUCCGGGAGAGGGAUGUGGAAUUCCAGGUGUAGCGGUGAAAUGCGUAGAUAUCUGGAGGAACAUCGGUGGCGAAGGCGGCAUCCUGGACCGGUAUUGACGCUGAGGCGCGAAAGCCAGGGGAGCAAACGGG